rnacentral:rRNA from 1 species
AUUGAACGCUGGCGGAAUGCUUUACACAUGCAAGUCGAACGGUAGAGGGGGCAACCCCUCGAGAGUGGCGAACGGGUGAGUAAUAUAUCGGAACGUGCCCAGUCGUGGGGGAUAACGUAGCGAAAGUUACGCUAAUACCGCAUACGAUCUAAGGAUGAAAGCGGGGGAUCGCAAGACCUCGCGCGAUUGGAGCGGCCGAUAUCAGAUUAGGUAGUUGGUGGGGUAAAGGCUCACCGAGCCAACGAUCUGUAGCUGGUCUGAGAGGACGACCAGCCACACUGGAACUGAGACACGGUCCAAACUCCUACGGGAGGCAGCAGUGGGUAAUUUUGGACAAUGGACGCAAGUCUGAUCCAGCCAUUCCGCGUGCAGGAUGAAGGCCCUCGGGUUGUAAACUGCUUUUGUACGGAACGAAAAGGUUUCUACUAAUACUAGGAGCUCAUGACGGUACUGUAAGAAUAAGCACCGGCUAACUACGUGCCAGCCGCCGCCGUAA